rnacentral:rRNA from 1 species
AGAAUCAACGCUGGCGGCGUGCCUAACACAUGCAAGUCGAGCGCGAAAGGGGAGCAAUCCCCCAAGUAGAGCGGCGAACGGGUGAGUAACGCGUGGGUAAUCUACCUUCGAGUGGGGAAUAACAGCGGGAAACUGCUGCUAAUACCGCAUGACAUCGUCGAUCCUUCGGGACUGACGAUCAAAGCCGGGGACCGCAAGGCCUGGCGCUUGAAGACGAGCCCGCGUCCGAUUAGCUAGUUGGCGGGUAAUGGCCCACAAGGCUUCGAU